rnacentral:tRNA from 1 species
GGGGAAUUAGCUCAGCUGGGAGAGCACCUGCUUUGCAAGCAGGAGGUCAUCGGUUCGAUUCCGUUUUUCUCCA